GUGCGUACGCAUUUUUUAUUUUGGAUUAAUUGCAUACAGCUCCCUAUAAAUACAUCGAAUAAUAAAUAUAUUCCUACAAAAAGUUCAACUUUUUAUAUUUAGCCUUGCAAAAUAUGAGUAAUGUACAUAUUUUGAAGGAUAAUUAUGAUAUUAAUGGUUUUAUGUGGGUAUUUAUAAUAUUUUUAACCUUUUGCAGAGUACUUGUGAAUUAAAUAUUUUCAUAUAUUUGUUAAGAGUGACAAACAAGUUUUUGCCAACCGUUGGAGCCUAUUUGGUUUCUCGAAAAAUACCCUAGAAAACUUAUUUUAGGGUGGAAAAUUUUUUUUCGUGUAUUUGGUUUGCAGGAAAAGUUGAUUUUUUGAAAAAUAAUUUUUCACAUUUUAGGAAAAAAUUUUCUUUUCAUUUUUCAUUUUGUUCGGAAAUUUUUUUUUUUUCUUAUGAACGUGUUUUGAGGAGUAAAAACGAAAAUUUUUAGUAUAUAUUUACCAUCCAACCGUCAUCUUAAUCAUCUUUAUCUUCCCAAACUAUAUGCGUAAUUAUCUCCAUUUCUUAUCUGUUAAUCAUCUUCAUCUCCUUUAUGAAACUAUUUUAUCUAAACCAAAUUAUACUUAAAAUUAUUUUUAUUUACUUAAUUAUUAUUACUUAUAUUAUAAAUAAUUUAUGACGUCUAACCAAACAGCAGAAACUAAAAACUUUCUUUUCCACGAAAAACUUUUUGCUCCGAAAAUAAUUUUCUACUAUUUUUCGAGAAACCA
rnacentral:lncRNA from 1 species